rnacentral:rRNA from 1 species
UACGGAGGGUGCAAGCGUUAUCCGGAUUCACUGGGUUUAAAGGAGCGUAGGUGGGUUGGUAAGUCAGUGGUGAAAUCUCCGUGCUUAACAUGGAACUGCCAUUGAUACUACUGAUCUUGAAUUUUCAGGAGGUAAGCGGAAUAUGUCAUGUAGCGGUGAAAUGCUUAGAUAUGACAUAGAACACCAAUUGCGAAGGCAGCUUA